rnacentral:piRNA from 1 species
UGCAGUCUUGCACAUGUGCCGUCCCUCGGC